ensembl:lncRNA
AUGAUGCUCCAUGUCUUUUUUCAGCUGCCAUUGGAAGAAGUGCCUGUCAACCCCUCAAAAGUGGAGGGGACCCUUUUGGGACAAAACUCUCUGGAAGUCAAGGAGAAAGUUGAUGGGGAUUUUCGCCUGAUAGCCAAUGGUUCAAUGCUGUCUCCUAAAGAAGAAGAAAUGACCGAGACUGGCCUUUCGGAGGUACGUGAUGUUGUGUUAGAGUGUUUUUAGCAAAAAAAAAAAAAAACCAAAAAAAACAUUUGAUAGAUCUCAAAAUUAAAGGGCAAUUGAAGUGAUGCGGGAGUCUGAAUUUUGGGCAAAAAGAGAAUGCUACCUUUUGGGCAUGCAGUUCUGUUCUCUGGUGUAGAAAUAUUCUGUAUCUGUAACUACAGGAAGAGAGUUAUGGUUCCACAUUAAAUGCCAUUGAUUGCAAGAUGCAUGGCAAUUUCAGUAUCACCAAAACAAGGCAAAACAAUUAUAUAUCAUGCACCCGAGAUUAUAAGACACAUCCAAUUUUUAGAGAUGUUUAUACCCGGGGGGGGGGGGGGGGGGUCUUAGAACUGGGGAAAUAGAGUAUUGCCUUGUCUGUCCCGCUUGCUCAACAUCUAUUUGUUUAUUGAUUUGAAUAUUAUUUAUUUUAUGUAUAUGCCAACCUUCUCCCUGAAUGGGCCCCAAGGCGUGAAGAAGGGGGCCGGGAAGACAUAAUUCCACCAUUUCUUCUGUGUCAAUAUAACAAUAUAAUAAUAUAUAAUACUCAUAUUAUGUUAUACUAAUCAUAUAAUAUAUUGUAUAUACAUAUAAUAUUGAUAACAAUAUCAUAAUAUAAUACAAUAUAAUAACAAUAAUACACUAUUAUAAUUGUAUAUUUAUAUUACAUGUAAUAUUACUAAUAAUAUAGUGGUAUAGUACAAUAUAAUAAUAUAUAAUGCUUCUGUUGUGCUAUGCUAAUACAGUAGAGUCUCGCUUAUCCAACGUAAACGGGCCGGCAGAACGUUGGAUAAGUGAAUAUGUUGGAUAAUAAGGAGAGAUUAAGGGAAAGCCUAUUAAAGAUCAAAUUAGGUUAUGAUUUUACAAAUUAAGCACCAAAACAUCAUGUUAUACAACACAUUUGACAGGAAAAGUAGUUCAAUACGCAGUAAUGCUAUGUAGUAAUUACUGUAUUUACGAAUUUAGCACCAAAAUAUCACAAUGUAUUGGAAACAUUGACUACAAAAUGCGUUGGCUAAUCCAGAACGUUGGAUAAGCGAGUGUUGGAUAAGUGAGACUCUACUGUAAUAUAAUAUAUUGUAGGUACAUAAACUUGUAAGCUGCCCUGAGUCCCUUUUGGGGUGGGAUAGAAAUGUCACAAAUAAAUAAAAAGGUAACUAACUCAAUAAUAAUAAUAAUAAUAAUAAUAAUAAUAAUAAUAAUAAUAAUAAUAAUAAUAAUCUUUAUUUAUAUUCUGCUCUCUCUCCCUGAGGGGACUCAGAGCGGAUUACAGGUACAUAUAUGGCAAACAUUCAAUGUCCUUAUACAAUUGACAGAGACAGACAAUAUAUAAUCGUGGUGCAUAUUUUUCAGAU